GUCCACUAUUGUGCACUUAAAGCUAUAAAACGCUGACAGCGCCCUGACAGCGCAACUAAAGUUCAAUUCCCCACAUAAGAGGCUGUUCCGGGAAAUCAUCCUGUAAUAUCCAGCCAGAGAAAGUACAAGGAGAAAAAGAGGCACCUCCUCUGCUGCUCUGGAGGUCAUUUACAGAUCACAUCACGCUGCAGGGACCCAUCUGGGCUGAUCUUUGUUGCUUACAGGUGUGGCAUGCCAACAGUUUGGUUGGAGGGAAUGGCCUCAAGUUGCACCAGAGGAGGGUCAGGUUGGACAUGAGGAAAAAAUUCUUCUCUGAAAGAGUGGCACAGGCUGCCCAGGGAGGUGGUGCAGUCACCGUCCCUGGAGGUGUUCCAGAGCCGUGUGGAUGUGGCACUGACAACAUGGUGGCCUGCAGAAAAUAGUGGCUGUGAUUUCGUCAGAGCAGCAGUGAGAGGUCUUGCUCCAAGGUGUGCUGGGUGAAACACGCUGGCCUCGGUUAUGGAAACCUAGAGAACGUGGUCAUGGGCGUCCCUUCGAUCUUCUGAAGCCUUCAGCUCCAUCAGAGAACUGAAGACCAG
ensembl:lncRNA